rnacentral:rRNA from 1 species
UAGUCCACGCCGUAAACGAUGAGCACUCGUUAUAGGAGGUAUUGAUCCCUCCUGUGACCAAGCUAACGCAUUAAGUGCUCCGCCUGGGGAGUACGGUCGCAAGACUAAAACUCAAAGGAAUUGACGGGGGCCCGCACAAGCGGUGGAUCAUGUGGUUUAAUUCGAAGCAACGCGCAGAACCUUACCUGGGCUUGAAAUCCUGCGAAUAUUACAGAGAUGUAUAAGUGUCCUUCGGGAAACGCAGUGACAGGUGCUGCAUGGCUGUCGUCAGCUCGUGUUGUGAAAUGUUGGGUUAAGUCUCGCAACGAGCGCAACCCUUGUCUUUAGUUGCCAGCAUUAAGUUGGGCACUCUAGAGAGACUGCCCGGGCAACCGGGGAGGAAGGUAGGGGAUGGACGUCAAGGUCCUCAUGGCCCUUAUGUCCAGGGGCUACACACGUGAUACAAUGGUACCAACAAAGGGAGCCAAGCCGCAAGGGUGGGAGCAAAUCU